GCAAAAAGCCCUUGUCCCUACAAAAUAGUGAGAUAAUCCCAACAGCGGAGAAAGACACAAACCACGUACAUACAGCACAACAGUGUUCUGACUGGGCUCUCUAGAGGGUGCUGUGAAACAUUCUGUUAAUUAAUAGGAAAGGAGGAACAGGAUUUCCCCUUUGCUCUGCUCUUCUCUUCCUCCACCUGCCUUGCCAUCAGACAGAGAUCUAUUUUCCCAGCUACAGAAUUCCUGCUCUGAGGUUCUGUACCUGGGGCCAACCAAAACCCAGAAGCUGCUUCAAACCAACAUAACCCAUGACAGCAGGGCAAGUCAUUAGUCCACAGAAAGCAAUUAGUACUUUCCAAGAAGUGGCACAGAAGUACUUGCCUCAUGUUUUUGCUUUAAACACACAUGGGCAGGCUCAGUUUCAUGGUGGGUGGACAUAGAUCUACUCCUCAGCUCAGCAAGAAAUUCCCAAGAAAGAGGGACUUGCACCUUUGCCUUUGUCUAAGCACCAAGCUCAAGGAAAAAUUCUUUGCAAUCUACAGACAAAAUCAUAAAAAGUAAAAGUUAGCAGAGCUGAGGAGUGUAACUGGCAGAAACAUGGAGUAAUUUUUUACCCUUUACUGGAUGCCUUCAAUUGUUGUGUACACAGUCCUUACUCUGUGCUGUUCAAUAUUGCCACGGUAGUUUACAAUUAUAAGCAGCCAUGAGUGAGUUUGAACUCAUUUAUUACUUUUUUUUUUCCCCCCACCCAUUUUCCUAAUCUCUGUAGUUGGCUGUGUAGGAAUACAAGUAUAUGCUGGGUUGGACUAAUUUCCCCUGCAGUCUGUACAGACCACCUUUUGCAGUCCGACACUAUGGUACCCAACAUCAGAGGAGCACACGUGGACAGCCACAGCAUGAGGCCGUGAUGCUAGAAGUGAGCUGACUCACCCGUUUGGCAGCAUGAAGCACUGCUCAAAUAGCAGCUUGCAUCAUGCCACACUGACACCAAAGUUACUAUUUCAGUACGGAAAUACUCACGAAAAGCUACACACCGCAGUGAUGUAGCGAUGCCUGGUAGUAGAUAAUCUCUGAUAUGAUGCAGCCACAGACAUUUGGUGGAGAAAAUAGUUUGCCGGCAUUAUCUGCUUGACUCAUAAAGAAGAUAAGAGCCAAAUACAAUCUGAAAGCAAUAGCUUCCAUGGGAAUCCUGGUGUCUUCAAUAUGUAUUUAGUAACACAUACUUUUGAGAAGCAGAGGGGCAGCACUCCUAACCCCAAUGGAUCCUGGGCAUCGCAGAUUCCCUAGGCAGGUGUUGGCUGGUGUCAAGUACUGCCCAGUCCUUACGGGCCAAGUGGCAGCAGCUGGCUGCCUCCCCACCCUCUCAUGCCUCUGUGUCCUGGUGAACCAAAUGACUACUUUCUCCCACUCUGGAGAUACCAUUUUUCUCUCAAAUUGCCCAAUUGGCCAGUGUAGUUAAGCCCAAAGUAAAGAGGUCUUUACGUAUUUUGCUCCAGACUGGAAGAAAGUUUUGUGUACUGAAAGCCACACCUGAUUUUCUAUCCUGACCUAGAAGCAGAAACUCUUCUUCCAAGCCUUGCCCCCCUCCCAAUGUGUUCUUCACAUUCUCAUCUCCUGCAGAAAGUUUGCCUUGCAGAGGUAUCACCUGGAAAAGGGAAUAGCCAUGGAGAAGAAUCACUUUUUGCAGGAGAUCCCCUUUUCUGCUAUCAUUAUUAACCAAGACAUUCAAUAACUCUGUUGAUAAUGUCACCUGCCACACAAUGCUCUCUGGUAUCUUGAGGAAAGGUCACAAAGAGCAGCCUACGAUCUGGGAACCUGACAGGUACUAGAAAGUUUAGACAGCAUAGAAGACUUGGCCAGCAGAGGUGAGAGGCAUGGAAAUCAGACAUGCAAAAGAAGUGAUUACAGGUUUCCUCCAGAGUCACAAGUCAUCUAAGUGCCAGUGAAGCCUCUACUUCUGAAGCCUUCCCUAAUGCUGGUGGACUACGUAGAAAUACAGGGGUUUGGUCAGACCUACACCGCCUUGCUCAGCCUUCCCAAUACAUCUUUGCUCUCCUGCAUUUUUAAGCUGUGUAAUGAUGAAGAUAAUUCUACAACAUUGAGCUUUAGCUUCUGAAUAAAAUAUUUUAUCUUGCAGUCGAAAAA